UUUUAUUUUGCACGUUUAGCCCAUUACUGUGUGCACAUUCAUAUCUCGGCUCUUUAUAAAAUUAUAAAAAGCACCUAUCAAUUCAUGAACAAAAAAUAAAUAAAUAUGAAGCACCCAUCCAAAUAAAUGUUAUAGCUCUUGAAUUGAUUUUGGACGUAUUUGAAUUAUGGAUUUGACAAAAGAAAUGUAUUGCAUUAUGAAUAGAUUGUGUGAUGAUCAUAUAAGAAAAGGCUAACAAUUACUAACAAAUUUAAUUCAUUAACAAAGGACGUACCACAUGUUGAUGAACACCAUGUUCAAUAUGUGGGUGGGAUAUUCAUAUAACGUUAGUUUCUGGUUUUAUUAAUAACAUUUUUCAGACUGGACUACUAUGUAUGAUUUACUGCUACUUUCUCAUUAUUUCAUAUCUUCGUUAGUGGGAAAUUGAAAAAUGUUGUUGUUUAAACAUUUUUUUAUGACUAAAAAAAAAGAAACAAUGUUUCAGGGUUACUUGUGUAGACUUGUUUACUUAAAAGGGUGUUGAUUGAUUACAGGGUGAUCUAAGAAACAAAGGAGAUAUUGAGAAACUCUUCUCCAAACAGAGGUUUGAUGCUGUGAUCCAUUUCGCGGGUCUUAAAGCUGUGGGUGAAAGCGUUGGCAACCCUCGCCGCUACUUCUACAAUAACUUAGUUGGAACUAUCAAUCUUUACGAGACCAUGGCAAAGCACAACUGCAAAAUGAUGGUGUUUUCAUCGUCUGCAACUGUGUAUGGACAACCUGAGAAGAUCCCAUGCAUGGAGGUUUUGGUUUUAUAAGAAUAUGAUUUGAAAAACAGGUGAGGGACUACAUCCAUGUGAUGGAUUUGGCUGAUGGACAUAUCGCUGCACUGAGGAAGCUAUUUGAUGAUCCAAAGAUAGUGUACAAGUGGAUGAGUUUGGGUUGAUACGUUUGAAGCCACGGAUGCAAACUUCACUGUGAUUUGCAGUGUACAAGUGGACAUCGAUUACAUGUUGUACACGUGGAUAUAGUCAUCUAAUUGUACAUGUGGAUAGUACAAUAUGUGUACACCACAUAACACAAUAUGUGUACACUUUGAAAACUUUUAUAUAUUCAUGUGUUCUAAAAUUUUAAACCA